rnacentral:misc_RNA from 1 species
GGAAGUAAAAUCGUAACAAGGUUUCCGUAGGUGAACCUGCGGAAGGAUCAUUAAUGAGUUGUCAUGGGGUUCGAUGCUGGCAGCCAGUUUUUGGAUGCAUGUGCUUGCCCUAACAAUCAUCUUCUUCCAAACACCUGUGCACAUUUUUGAGGGAGUCUAGAGUUGGUUGCCGCUCUUGGGUGAUUUUCUCACAUUCCCUCAAAUCAUUAUACGCUAUUAACAAUGUUGAACGUGCUCUGUGCCGCAAGGCCAUUAAUAUAAUACAACUUUUAACAACGGAUCUCUUGGCUCUC